rnacentral:rRNA from 1 species
GACGAACCGUGCGAACGUUGUUCGGAAUCACUGGGCUUAAAGGGCGCGUAGGCGGCUCAUCAAGUCCGGGGUGAAAGCCUCCAGCUUAACUGGAGAAGUGCCUUGGAUACUGGUGGGCUCGAGUGAGGCAGGGGCAGCUGGAACUUCCGGUGGAGCGGUGAAAUGCGUUGAUAUCGGAAGGAACGUCGGUGGCGAAAGCGGGCUGCUGGUCCUCUUCUGACGCUGAGGCGCGAAAGCUAGGGUAGCGAACGGGAUUAGAACCGUA